UGCUCUGGUGGCCUAGUGGUUAUAGUGUCCACCUUGGAUGUGGGAGGUUGCAGGUUCAAACCCCGGCUGAGUCA